rnacentral:rRNA from 1 species
AUUGAACGUUGGCGGCAUGCUUUACACAUGCAAGUCGAACGGGGUGAAGGGGCAACUCUUCAUUCAGUGGCGAACGGGUGAGUAAUACAUCGGAACGUACCCCGUAGUGGGGGAUAACUCGGCGAAAGCCGUGCUAAUACCGCAUAUGCUCUACGGAGGAAAGCAGGGGACCUGCAAGGGCCUUGUGCUAUGGGAGCGGCCGAUGUCCGAUUAGCUUGUUGGUGGGGUAAUGGCCUACCAAGGCGACGAUCGGUAGCUGGUCUGAGAGGAUGAUCAGCCACACUGGGACUGAGACACGGCCCAGACUCCUACGGGAGGCAGCAGUGGGGAAUUUUGGACAAUGGGGGAAACCCUGAUCCAGCCAUGCCGCGUGUGUGAAGAAGGCCUCGG